UACGUAGGGUGCGAGCGUUGUCCGGAAUUAUUGGGCGUAAAGGGCUCGUAGGCGGUCUGUCGCGUCGAAAGUGAAAACUCAGGGCUUAACCCUGAGCCUGCUUCCGAUACGGGCAGACUAGAGGUAUGCAGGGGAGAACGGAAUUCCUGGUGUAGUGGUGAAAUGCGCAGAUAUCAGGAGGAACACCGGUGGCGAAGGCGGGUCUCUGGGCCGAUACUGACGCUGAGGAGCGAAAGCGUGGGGAGCGAACAGG
rnacentral:rRNA from 1 species